GUGAAUCAUCGAAUUUUUGAACGCAAAUUGCACUCUUCUCGGUGAGUAUGCCUGUUUGAGGGUCAGCGUAUAAAAAAUCGACAUCGUUGCUGUUUCGCGGGGGCGCUCGUCGGAAAUUGGGUUAUCUUAACUCCUUUUGAUUUAUGCGACUUAAAAUUUUGUUUUGGUUCCAUGACCGUUUCUAAGAUCUAUUUCAUUAAACGUUUAGGGUAUAGAUUUUUACUAGACGUGACCAUCAUAUCGGAUCGCGAC
rnacentral:misc_RNA from 1 species